UAAGGAAUAUUGCUCAAUGGGGGAAAUCCUGAAGCAGCAACGCCGCGUGGAGGAUGAAGGGUCUAUGACUUGUAAACUCCUGUAAAGAAGGAAAAAAUUCCCAUUUGAUGGGAGAUGAUGGUACUUCUGGAGUAAGCCCCGGCUAACUACGUGCCAGCAGCCGCGGUAAUACGUAGGGGGCAAGCGUUGUCCGGAUUUACUGGGUGUAAAGGUUGCUCAGGCGGAUUUGUAAGUCAGAGGUGAAAUCUUACAGCUUAACUGUGAAACUGCCUUUGAUACUGCAAGCCUAGAGUAUGGAAGAGAGUGAUGGAAUAUCUGGUGUAGCAGUGAAAUGCGUAGAUAUCAGAUAGAACACCAAUGGCGAAGGCAGUCACUUGGUCCAUUACUGACGCUAAAGCACGAAAGCGUGGGUAGCAAACA
rnacentral:rRNA from 1 species